rnacentral:rRNA from 1 species
AUGAUUUCAAUAUAUUUUUCGUAUUCUAUCAAAGCACGGAACUAUUACAAGAGUUUCCUAUACAUAAUAUAUACUCAUAUUUGCGACGCCUGCGAACGUGGGUUCCACCAAACCUGCGUCCAAGUCGUGUGGCGGCCUCCGGUGGCCGUGAACGAGGGCUGGAUGUGCCCGGAAUGUGCGAUAGGAGCCGUCAACGCCCAAGACAUCACCAGGCAGUUAUGUCAGCUCCCUCUUUUCGCACCCUUGUCAUGGCUUCUGUUCGCCACUAGUUUGUCUCUCCACUUGAUGUCAAGAAUGCUAAUGAACGGCGAGUUGUGUGAGGUCUGUAUACAACCACCAUCAGUGUAUUCUGUUCUUGACGACAUGGUAUGUCAUCUUUGUCGCUCUCUUUAUGGCUUUAAGCAAGCCCCUUGUGCUUGGUGUGAGCAUUUCUUUAAAACUAGCUUGGGAGAGAUCGAUAAACAGGCAAGCUACCACAAUUGCCAUCAGAUAUGGCCAGUGGGUUUUACAUCUUACUGGCAUGAUAGAGUCACUGGUUCACUGUUUGAGUGUGAGGUGUGUGAAUGUGAUGGCCGGAGUUCUGCGCCUUUGUUUAAGGUCAGAAGGUUACCAUGUUCAGUGUUCCCCCUUCCAGAAGCCUCCACCAUUCUCUUUCAGAAUGGUGCAAGAAAGGCCGCUGAAACAAAGGAAAGUAGCAGUUUUAUUGGAUAUACUGCUAAUGAUAUGGAUGAUGAUAUUUAUAUGAUGGUGGAUACGCCCUCUGAGACCAAACAAGAUUUCUUAUCAAUUUUUACCAGUGAUAUGGAGGAUCAAAGGACUUCUUUGUGUUGCAAUGAUGUACAGAGCUCAAAUAUGAUGUCACAAAUACUACCAUCAAAUUCUGAGAAUGUUCCACCAGGUAAAGAAGCCAGUAUUAAUGACCAAAUUGGUGAGUUUACAUUUAAGGGAACAUCGCCCUCUUCAGUAUGGGGGAUGAUUUCUUCUGCUAUGGUGGAAGCAUGUGAAAAAAAUGGGAGUGGAUGUCAGAACUUUGAUGGUCCUUACGCUCCCUUAACUAGAUUUUGCUCAUCCAAUGGCCCCAGUAUACCACGAGUUACAGAAAAGAAGAAUGAUGUGAAAUCUACUUAUACAUUACUGAAGAAUUGGCUAUACCAUGAUAGAAUUGGGCUUGACUUGGAAUUUGUUCAAGAAAUUGUGGAGUCCCUUCCUAGAUCCAGGUCUUGCAUAAACUACCAGUUCUUGUGCAAUAGGACAGAAUUUCAUUCUUCUGUGACAGUUGCAAGUGGUUUACUUUUAUCUGUGCAUAAAGAUGGUCAAAGUAAUGGAGAUACACCAUAUGGUAGACAUGGUGCCGUGACUGGGCUACAUGAUGAUGCUCAGCCCAGCGGUUCUAGCAUCCGCAAGCUACCUCCGGGACGUCCUAUUAGCCAUAAGCUUCAACCGGAAUCGGCGGCAGAUGUUUUCCAGAUAUGGGAGUUCUUGGGGCGCUUUGCUGAAAUCAUUGAUCUCAAAGAAGUGCCUUCAUAUGAACAAUUAGAAGAUGAACUUGCUGACCCAUGGCCAACUUGUGCAAGUCAGAAAGAAACACUGUCAAAGGGCAUUCAACAAUGUAGGGAUUACUCUUCACCAAUGAAUUCCCCUGCUAAUGCUUUUAUAUCACAUUCAAAUAGUGAAUCUGGUCUCUCCAAUAAUGAAGAGAUUGUGUCUGUAUUUAUUCCUGUUGAAACUUCCUCUAUGAAGGAAGCUCGUCUAGAUAAAUUGGCAGCCCAGAUACUUGGGAGGUGCACUGGUAGAGUAUUGCCCAGGGUUCAUCUUGCACUCAUUAAGGUUCUUUUUGGUGAGGUAUUAUCAAAGCUCAGCAUUGACCCCAAAGAAUCAAAACCCAGGCGCGGGAGAAAGAAGGACACUGAGAGCCAUGUUUCAACAAAGGAAUUUAACUUUGAUAUGCUAACUGCUAACAAGUUGACUUGGCCAGAGUUGGCUAGAAGGUAUAUGUUAGCUAUUUCUUCCAUAAAUGGGUGCAUGGAUGUGUAUGAUAUUUCCAGUCGAGAAGGGAUGAAGCUAUUCCGCUGCCUACACGGUGAUGGUGGCAUACUGUGCGGAGCAGUACCUGGGGUUGCCGGCAUGGAGAAGGAUGCCCGUCUGCUUCUGGAGGCGGAGAAUUUGAUAUGCAGCUCUCUAUCAACAGAAGGAAACAAGGUUUAUAUGAUGGAUUACAAGUAUUCUGCUGAGGUGCCUAUUGCUGAUAAUAGAACAUUUCCGGAUUGGGCAGAAGCACUAGAGCCUGUGAGAAAAUUACCGACAAAUGUGGGAACGAGAAUUAGAAAUUAUGUUUAUCAAGCUUUGGACCGAAAAUCACCAGAAUGGGCAAGGAAAAUUUUGGAACAUUCGGUAAGUAAAGAGGUCUACAAGGCUAAUGCAUCUGGACGAACCAAGAAAGCUGUUUUAUCUGUGUUGUCAGAGGCAUGCAGUGUAACAGUGCCACAAAAAACUGAAAACCCAAGAAAUGAAAGGAAAACUAUUUCCAUCUCAGAGGUCAUCUUGAAGAAGUGUCGUAUUGCUCUGCGCCGUGCCAUUUCCUCAGAUCAAUAUAAGCUUUUGGGGAAUCUUCUUGGAAGUAUUAUAGUGAACUCUAAUGAGUAUAUAUAUGAGGAUGAAGGCAUCCUUGGAUUUUCUGGUAUGGUGCCACGCCCUUUGGACUUCCGCACAAUUGACAUAAGGUUGGCUAUGGGAGCUUAUUGUGGAUCUUGGGAGACCUUUUUUGAGGAUGUGCAAGAGGUGCUCGACCUUGUUCAGAAAUUUGAUUGCUUCCUGUCUAGGGAGAAUACUGGUUCAGAAAUCCAUGAGGAGCUACAGGAUAUUCUGACUGCAACAGCCAAAUUACCUAAAGCUCCAUGGGAGUAUGGUAUUUGCAAAGUGUGUGGCAUUGAUAGAGACGAUCACAUUGUUCUCUUGUGUGAUGGCUGCGACGAUGAGUACCAUACUUAUUGCCUGAAUCCACCACUAACUCGAAUACCACGAGGAGACUGGUUCUGCCCAUCGUGCAUGUUAAAGCUAGAGAGAUCACAUCUUGACCAGGGUGCUCAUGAUCUUAAACGACAACGAGAAGGAGCAGAGUCUCAUGCAUUUCACGGCAAACCAUCAUGCAUCUCAGCUCAAAGGAAAUCACAUCUUGACCAGGGAGUUCAGGAUUUGAAACCACAACGGAAAGGACCCUAUCAUGACAUGCUUAUUAAGUUAGCUGCAGCAGUGGCAGAAAAAGAGUACUGGGAGCUCAGCACACAAGAGAGAAUAGAUAUGCUGAAAUUUCUUUGUGAUGAAAUGCUCAACACAGUCCUGAUAAGAGAACAUAUAGAAAAAUGUCCAGAUAAGUUCAAUGAUCUCCAGAAGAAGUUUUAUGCUUUGAAUUUUGAAUUGAAGGAUUUGAAAGAUAAGGAGGAAAUGAGGAAUUCAUAUGGUGAAAUGGAUACUUUAUCGGACCAGAUUUCAAAAGUGCAGGAGUCAAUUGGCACAGUAGAGUCAGAGCUUAAUAUGGCAUCCUUGAGAAGAGAUUUUCUGGGAAAGGAUUCCUUGGGUCGACUGUACUGGGUUUUAGGACGAUCUGGUAAACGUCCUUUGUUGGUCGUUGAUGGAAGCAUGCUAAUAAGCAAGGAGAGGGACCCACCAUCUACUUCUGAUUGUAAAGGAUGGAAUUCUGCAUCUGUUGUCAUUUAUGAAUCGGAUGAAGAAAUCCGUAGCCUUGUUGACUGGCUAAGGGAAUACGAUCCAAGGGAGAAGGAGCUGAAACGUUGUAUCCAGCAGUGGCAGUGGCAGCGGCAGAGGCUUCUUCAUCACCAGCUGGGUAAUUUUGUUCCCAGUGAUCCUCCAGUAUCAUCCCAGGGGUCGUCGAACAGCAGCGAGCAGCAGCUUAUGGAAGUUCCCAGUACCAAGGCUGCAGCAAUUUUGGGGAAAACAUGCCGCUGCGACUGCUUAGAGCCUAUAUGGCCUGCUCAACACCACUGCACAGGAUGUCAUGAGACUUACUUCACGUCAAUGGAGUAUGAAGAUCGUGCUGGAAAGUGCAAUGGACAUGUCAACAAGGAGAAGGAUUCUGUUCAUCCUAGCUCCACCUCUGGGUCCACAAAACUGAUGAAGUCAUGCCCAUAUGACUUUGAAGAGAUUUGCGGAAAAUUUGCCACCAAUAAUUCAAACAAGGAGAUAGUGAAGGAUAUUGGACUUAUUGGAUCAAACGGAGUUCCGUCUUUUGUCCCUUCACGUGCAGCUUUUAUUGAUCCUCCAGCAAUGCCUGCACAAAAGUUAGGGCCUGAGGGGUCUAAUUCUGCUCAAAAUUGUCCUGCAGCUAGUACUUCCUGUGAUGAAAAUGUGUCAAAAUCUAAGGAACCAGCCCCUGAUACUGAUACUACUUCCUGUGAGGAAGCAGCAUCUUCUGCAACAGACAAGCCAACAACAAGAUUGCUAGCUGUUAACGGUGGCUUGGUUCCGGAGUCAUCACUGAGGCCUGUUACAGGAAGAAACUCUCAUAUCCUGAAGCAACAAAAGAUAAAUUUGCUUGAUAUAGAUGCAGCGUUGCCAGAGGAAGCUUUGACAACCUCAAAGUCUCAACAAAUGCGAAGGCGUUCAUGGCGUGCUUUCGUCAAGCAUGCAGAAUCAAUAUCCGAGAUGGUACUGGCGACCAGCAUGUUGGAGAGAGUGAUAAAAUCCGAGUUCCUGAAGAAUGAUUGGUGGUACUGGUCCUCCUUUACAGUAGCCAUGAAGACCUCAACUGUAUCCUCGCUCGCUCUCAGGAUCUACACUCUCGACAACUGUAUCAUGUACACCAAGCAGACUAACACUGUGCCACCGGCUGACAGUACAAAGGUUGUGAACAAGGGGAGGAAGGGGAAAGAGCCAGAACCAUCAGCGUCGUAA